ensembl:lncRNA
UUCCCGCUCUUUUUGAAGAAACGCAUUUAUGACUGAUCGCUCAACACCUUGUUGGUUCUGAUUGCAGGAAACACACCUUAUAAAUAUACGAUAACCAUCCUGUAAUAGUGUGACAAUUUAGUUCACAGUGCGUUUCGGGCUGCUAAUUGAUCGUUUCAGUCCAGGGACGAUUUGGAAUAAAUUAUAGCCAUCAAAAGGAUAUCACAGCUCAUUUUGGUGGAAGGAUUUCCACGUCGCCUCGCGUUAGUCAGAGAGCCGAUUGCUCCCGGCGGGCAGAGAGGAGGGGAGGGAACCGGCCCGGGAAAGGAGUGGCGGCGUUGGGUAGGGGGAGCGGGACAGGGCGGGGCCUAAGAGCCCGAUGGGCGGGCCCGGCGGGGCGGGGCGGGGCGAUGGGCGGGGCCGACGGCGGCGCGCAAGCGGCGGCUGCAGGUCCGCUGCUGGACGGUAGAGGCCUCCCUUCCGAGGCGGCGGCGCGGAUGCUACCUGCUGGCGCUGGGCACCCCGGCGCGAGCCCUCGCGUCUUUCCCGGUGAGGUCCCUACGCUGCGCGGCCCAGCCAGGCCCAGUGCUUCUAAUGUGAGGAAAAACACGGAAUGACAAGUGUGGGAAAGAGCAAGCACUAAAUUACUGUCAGAAAAAUAAACGGAGUAGCACAGUGGUACUCGGUGAUUUA